rnacentral:rRNA from 1 species
AGUGAACGCUGGCGGUAGGCCUAACACAUGCAAGUCGAACGGCAGCACAGUAAGAGCUUGCUCUUACGGGUGGCGAGUGGCGGACGGGUGAGGAAGACAUCGGAAUCUACUUUUUCGUGGGGGAUAACGUAGGGAAACUUACGCUACUAUUGCAUACGACCUCCGGGUGAAAGCAGGGGAUCUUCGGACCUUGCGCGAUUGAUUGAGCCGAUGUCGGAUUAGCUAGUUGGCGGGGUAAGGCCCACCAAGGCGACGAUCCGUAGCUGGUCUGAGCGGAUGAUCAGCCACACUGGGACUGAGACACGGUCCAGACUCCUACGGGAGGCAGCAGUGGGGAAUAUUGGACAAUGGGCGCAAGCCUGAUCCAGCCAUACCGCGUAGGUGAAGAAGGCCUUCGGGUUGUAAAGCCCUUUUGUUGGGAAAGAAAAGCAGCAGGUUAAUACCCCGCUGUUCUGACGGUACCCAAAGAAUAAGCACCGGCUGACUUCGUG